AACACYGGAGUGGCCAACACCGGCAACGUCAACACCGGCGCCUUCAUCKCCGGCAACUACAGCAACGGCGUCUUGUGGCGGGGSGRSUACCAAGGCCUGAUCGGUGCCGAUAUCGCCCUCGAGAUYCCCGCCAUUCCGAUAAACGCGCAGCUAUUCAGCAUGCCGAUACAUCAGGUGAUGGUCAUGCCCGGAAGCGUGAUGACGAUUCCGGGCAUGCGUUUGCCCUUCACAUCCAUUGUUCCCUUCGUUGUUUACUACGGCCCGGUCGAGCUCCCGCAAUCCACGCUCACCCUUCCCACGGUGACGAUCACCGUGGGCGGACCAACCACCACGAUCGACGGCAACCUCACCGGCAUGGUGGGGGGCGUCAGCAUCCCGCUCAUCAAGAUUCCGGCGGCCCCGGGCUUCGGGAACUCGACCACCAGCCCGUCGUCGGGCUUCUUCAACGCUGGCGCCGGCACCGCCUCGGGCUUCGGCAACUUCGGCGGCGGCGCUUCGGGCUUUUGGAACCUGGCCUCGGCAACCUCGGGACUUUCGGGCUUCGGGAACGUCGGCGCGCUGGGAUCGGGUGUAGCUAACGUUGGCAACACCAUCUCGGGUCUCUACAACACGAGCACGUCGAAUCUGGCGACGCCAGCCUUUAACUCCGGCCUGCUGCACCACAGCGUGGGCACCAUGACCCUUAACUUCGGGUUGGCAAACGUCGGCGGCAACAAUGUCGGCGGKGCAAACGCCGGAAUCUUCAAUGUGGGCUUGGCAAACCUGGGCGACUACAAUAUUGGCUUCGGCAAUCUAGGCGGCGACAACCUGGGCUUCGCCCACGCGGGCAGCUACAACAUCGGCUUUGCGAACACCGGCAGCAAUAAUCUUGGCUUCGCGAACACGGGUGACAACAAUAUCGGUUUUGCGAAUAUCGGCAGSAACAAUAUCGGGAUCGGGCUCACCGGCAGCGGCCAGAUCGGKKUCGGCAGCCUGAACUCGGSCAGCCACAAUAUCGGCUUUKUUYWACUCGGGKGRSGGAAACAWCGGAUUUGUUCAACUCGGGCAGCGGAAACUUCGGGAUAGGAAACGCGGGCACCGGAAACUGGGGCAUCGGAAACUCGGGCGCCGGAAACUUCGGCAUCGGGAACGCGGGCMGCACCAACACGGGCUUGUUCAACUCCGGAGACCUCAACACGGGUAGCUUGAACCCGGGCAGCUAUAACACCGGCAGCGUCAACACCGGCAGCGUCAACACCGGKGGCUUCAAUGCAGGUAAMUACAACACCGGCUAMUUCAACACCGGCGACUACAACACCGGCAUGGCGAACACCGGCAAUAUCAACACCGGCGCUUUCAUCUCCGGCAACCACAGCAACGGCCUUCUGUGGCGGGGSGRCAACCAGGGKCUGAUCGACCUCGCCAUCGGCGUCGACAUUCCCGAAAUCCCGAUUGUGAGCGUCGACGUGAAUAUCCCGAUUCACAUACCGAUCACCGCCAGCUUCACGGACAUCGUAUACAGCGGGCUCGAUCUUCCACCGAACACAGCCGUCACUGUUAUUUUUUUCGGACCCGUCGAUAUCGACCCCUUCACCGUCCCAGUGAUACGGAUAACCGGUCCCACACCUGUGGUCAUGGUGGGUGGACCCACUACCGCGAUCAAUAUCGGCGCCACUGUGGGCGUCGACGCCAUCAACAUCCCGAUUAUCCAUAUUCCAGCGACUCCAGGCUUCGGCAACUCGACCGGCGGACUGUCGUCGGGCUUCUUCAAUAGCGGCGCUGGCAGCGCCUCGGGCUUCGGCAACUUCGGGGGCGCCGCGUCGGGCUUUAUGAACCUGGUCUCCACAACGUCGGGAAUGUCGGGCUUCCUCAACGUCGGCGCGCUGGGAUCGGGUGUGGCGAAUGUGGGCAACACCAUCUCGGGUAUCUACAACGUGGGCACGUCGSMCCYCYCGMCSCCCGCCGUUAACUCCGGGUUGGCAAAUAUCGGAACCAAUAUUGCCGGCCUGCUGCGCGACGGCGCGGGUACUGCGGCUAUUAACUUGGGCUUGGCCAACCACGGCAACCUCAACGUGGGCUUCGCAAGUCUCGGCGGCUUUAACUUCGGCGGCGCCACCAUCGGCCACAACAACGUCGGCAUCGGGAACACCGGAAUCUUCGAUGUCGGCCUGGCGAACCUGGGCAGCUACAACAUCGGCUUCGGAAACCUUGGCGACGACAACCUGGGCUUCGGCAACUUCGGCAGCUACAACAUCGGCUUYGGCAACGUCGGCAACGACAAUCUGGGUUUCGCUAACGCGGGCGGCGGCAACAUCGGCUUUGCGAACACCGGCAGCAACAAUGUCGGSUUUGGGAACACGGGCAGCAACAAUGUCGGCAUCGGGCUCACGGGCAACGGACAGAUCGGGUUCGGCAGCUUCAACUCGGGCAGCGGAAACAUCGGCCUGUUCAACUCGGGCAGCAACAACAUCGGAUUCUWCAAYUCSGGCAGYGGCAACWUCGGCAUCGCAAACUCGGGCAGCUUCAACACUGGCAUCGGAAACACCGGCAACACCAAUACCGGCCUAUUCAACUCCGGCGACGUCAACACGGGCGCCUUCAACCCGGGCAGCUUCAACACCGGUAGCUUCAACACCGGCAGCUUCAACACCGGUGGCUUCAAUCCGGGCAAUACCAACACCGGCUACCUCAACAUUGGCAACUACAACACCGGCAUCGCCAACACCGGCGACGUUGACACCGGGGCUUUCAUCACCGGAAACUACAGCAACGGGUUGUUCUUAAGCGGCGAUUACCAGGGCCUGGUCGGCCUCAACCUGGUGAUCGAUAUGCCUCUCCCCAUAAGCCUCGGCG
rnacentral:rRNA from 1 species